AUUGAACGCUGGCGGCAGGCCUAACACAUGCAAGUCGAACGAGUGGCGGACGGGUGAGUAAUGUCUGGGAAACUGCCCGAUGGAGGGGGAUAACUACUGGAAACGGUAGCUAAUACCGCAUACAAUCGGAUGUGCCCAGAUGGGAUUAGCUAGUAGGUGGGGUAACGGCUCACCUAGGCAACGAACCCUAACUGGUCUGAGAGGAUGACCGGCCAAACUGGAACUGAAACACGGUCCAGACUCCUACGUGAGUGAGCAGUGGGGAAAAUUGCACAAUGGGCGCAAGCCUGAUGCAGCCAGGCCGCGUGUAUGAAGAAGGCCUUCGGGUGGUAAAGUACGUUCAGCGAGGAGGCGGUGCUCGCAGCAGAAGCACCGGCUAACUCCGUGCCAGCAGCCGCGGUAAUUG
rnacentral:rRNA from 1 species